UCGGCCGCCUGGAAUGGUUCGGCCCGCGGCCCGGCCCGGCCUCUGAGGGGCCGCGGCCGCCAUUUUGUGUGGUGGUGGAUAGAGUGCGGUAGCGGCGGUGUUGCGGGAUUCUUGGGACGUCGCUCCCUUCUCUGGCCGUAACUUCCCGCGAAGAUGUCGGAGUAUAUCCGAGUGACGGAGGACGAGAACGAUGAGCCCAUCGAAAUCCCGUCGGAGGACGACGGCACGGUGCUGUUGUCCACGGUGACGGCGCAGUUCCCCGGGGCGUGCGGGCUGCGCUACAGAAACCCAGUGUCGCAGUGCAUGCGAGGAGUCCGGCUGGUUGAGGGCAUCCUGCACGCCCCCGAGGCCGGCUGGGGAAACCUUGUCUACGUCGUGAAUUAUCCCAAAGAUAAUAAGAGAAAAAUGGAUGAAACUGAUGCGUCAUCAGCUGUGAAAGUGAAACGAGCAGUGCAGAAGACUUCAGAUUUAAUAGUCUUGGGUCUUCCCUGGAAAACCACUGAGCAAGAUUUAAAGGAAUAUUUCAGUACCUUUGGAGAAGUUCUGAUGGUGCAGGUUAAGAAGGAUAUUAAAACAGGCCACUCGAAAGGUUUUGGGUUUGUUCGAUUCACGGAUUACGAAACCCAAGUGAAAGUAAUGUCUCAGCGUCACAUGAUUGAUGGAAGAUGGUGUGACUGUAAACUUCCCAACUCUAAGCAAAGUCCCGAUGAACCUUUGCGCAGCAGGAAGGUGUUUGUUGGGCGCUGCACCGAGGACAUGACGGCAGAUGAACUCCGACAGUUCUUUGCCCAGUAUGGGGAAGUGGUAGAUGUCUUCAUUCCUAAACCCUUCCGAGCUUUUGCUUUUGUUACAUUUGCAGAUGAUCAGGUUGCCCAGUCUCUUUGUGGAGAGGACUUGAUCAUUAAAGGAAUCAGCGUACAUAUAUCUAAUGCUGAACCUAAGCACAAUAGCAGUAGACAGUUAGAGAGAGGUGGAAGAUUUGGUGGUAACCCGGGUGGCUUUGGGAAUCAGGGGGGGUUUGGUAACAGCAGAGGAGGUGGGGGAGGACUGGGCAACAACCAGGGCAGCAACAUGGGCGGGGGUAUGAACUUUGGGGCAUUUAGCAUCAACCCUGCCAUGAUGGCAGCAGCGCAGGCGGCCCUGCAGAGCAGCUGGGGGAUGAUGGGUAUGCUGGCCAGCCAGCAGAACCAGUCAGGGCCUUCGGGAAACAACCAGCCUCAGGGCAACAUGCAGCGGGAGCAGAACCAGGGUUUUAGUUCAGGCAACAACUCAUAUGGAGGGUCCAACUCAGGGGCAGCAAUAGGCUGGGGCUCAGCCUCGAAUGCAGGCUCCAGCAGUGGGUUUAACGGAGGCUUUGGUUCAAGCAUGGAUUCCAAGUCGUCAGGCUGGGGAAUGUAGACGCAGUGGGCUCUGAUACUGACUCUAUGGUGGGAAAUCAGAUUUUUCUAACUCAUGUUCAUCUCAUUUCAAAUGUGUAUGGAAGAAGCACUUCAUUGAAAGCAGUGCUGUAAAUAUUCUGCCUUAGGAAUACUUCUGUCUACAUGCUUUCUCAUCCAAGAAUACUUCAUCACACCGCACAUGCUGCGUCUUAGACGGUGGGUGUUCCAUUUUUAUCCGCUACUCUUUAUUUCAUGGAGUCGUAUCAACGCUGUGAACGCAAGGCUGUGAGAUGGAACCAGAAGGCUGUUUGAACUUUUGAAACCAUGUGUGGGAUUGGUGGUGGUGCCGAGGCAUGAGAGGGCUGGUAUGUGCGAGAUAAAGGAGCGAGCGCAUGCAGAGACCUGGUGGUGCAUUAAUGGGAUUUUAUUUGACUUGGCGAGAUGUCUCUCAAUCCUGUGGCUUUGGUGAGAGAGUGUGCGGAGAGCAAUGGUAGCAGAUAACGUACGAGUGUUUAUUGCAUUCAAAGGACGUCCACAUGUGGAAGACUUUAAGUGGGUUCUCUACCUAGUUAAUCAAUUAGUUGAAUGUGUUACGUGAAAUGGAAUAUUUGUAUUUCUUUUCCCUUAUGUCAACUGCUGUGAAUGCUGUAUGGUGUGUGUUUUUUUCUGUUAAUGAUCUGUAAGUGUGGUAAUGUGACUUGAAGAUGAUGGGGGUUGUGGUGAGAACAUUGAGCUUGCGUGCUUUGCAGUAGCUCUUUUAGCAGAGAUCACUAGAGCUCAGUGUGCCUCUCCAGGGUGGAAGUUCCACUGUCUGUAAGAUAUCCAAAAGAAUGCUGUUUGCUGCAGUUUCGUGUUUGGAUGCUUUUUAUAAGAUUUGUCACUGUAGGAAAUUCUUAAAUAAAACUGAUUUAAGUAAUAUGUGUCUUUGUUUUGCAGCCCUGAAUGCAAAGAAUUCAUAGCAGUUAAUUAAUUUUACCCUUUUGCGAUGAACUUCUGUAAAGCUUUUUGCAGUCACUCGGUUUGUUUCAGAUAAGCAGGUUCUAAAGGAGCCACCGCUCAGCACGUAUCGAUACCUGAUACUCUCCUCUAAGCCACUGUACCCUUGCACUGUGCAGUGACAUAGAUCUAAAAUCCAGGUCCCACACCUUGGGGUGCCUGCACCUAGACUGGUAAGCAGCUCCCUCCAGAUUUCAUCUGUGCCAAGGAACAUUACUUGUUCUUUUAGCAAUGGAAGUUCCUUAUCAGAAAUGUGUUGGGGGAAAGAGAGUUGCUGUCAUGAUGAAUUUCUGUCCACAUCUACUUUGGGGAUGGAUGUUUUUAACGUGUUUCUAGAUGAGCCCACUCAAGGGAAACAGGCUUCUGCCGCACUUCCAGCCCAGAAGAAUGCUGUUAACUCCUGUUAAAAACUAGUCACAGGAAAAACUUUCCAGAUGAAUAAAGCACUGUAAAUAUACACAGACUGCUAAAGUUUGAACUGAGUUAUGACAGGUGCAGAGGUGCCACAUUGGAUAGGAGGCAGCUUCUUAACAAAGUGUACGGCAUUAGAGCAGAAACUAGCAGAAGGUUAUUUCCACUUGUGGUAUGAGCUUGAGGAAUUGUGUUGUGUACUUGGGGUUGCAACCCACUGAAGCUUGGAUCUGUAUUUUUCUAUACACCAUAAUACUGCGCUGUAGCUGUGAAUAGUCUGAAUAUGGAUAUUUACACAGUUUUUAACCUAUGUAAUUUUCAAGCGAAUCUUCAUGACUCUAUCCCACUGAGGCUUGUGAAUAGCAGAGCAUCUAAACAGCAAACAAAACUGCAUGACUGAGUUUUCCACCUGCAGAAUGAAAAAAUCAGUUGUGCCUUAAUGUGCUUGGUUUAAAGAGGGUUUCUAAACACCCAGGCUGAGAAAAAAAUCCCACACAUUUGUUCAUAUUCCACUGAAAAAGUUGCUUACAUUUUUUUCUGCACCUUAAUCAGAAUAAUCUCCAAACUGUCCCAUCUGUGAAUUUUGCAUUUUAGCACUUGCACUAUUACCAGCUACUUCUGCUGAGUAACACUUUAAAAUGGUAUUCUUGGACCUCCAAAGACUAACUGUGACCCCCUGCAAGGAACCUCAUGGUAAGUUUUUGUAAUUAGCAUGGUUUUAAUUCUGUUUAAAUUGGUCAGGUUUAGGUUUAAAAGACUGGUUGGCAGCACUGAGUAGUCCUUGCUAAUAAUUUUAGCCUUCCGUUACCUUCAAACAAAAUCUGAAAAUUCUAGAAUUUCAAGUUUCAGUAGCAUUUUAACUGUGUUGCAUACUAGAAUGUUUAUAAGUGAGCAAAUAAACUAUCACUGAAAAUACA